rnacentral:rRNA from 1 species
AAAGGAAUAGACGGGGGCCCGCACAAGCAGUGGAGUAUGUGGUUUAAUUCGAAGCAACGCGAAGAACCUUACCAGGUCUUGACAUCCGAUGCAUAGCACAGAGAUGUGUGAAAUCCUUCGGGACAUCGAGACAGGUGGUGCAUGGUUGUCGUCAGCUCGUGUCGUGAGAUGUUGGGUUAAGUCCCGCAACGAGCGCAACCCUUAUUGCCAGUUACUACGUUAAGAGGACUCUGGCGAGACUGCCGUUGACAAAACGGAGGAAGGUGGGGAUGACGUCAAAUCAUCAUGCCCUUUAUGACCUGGGCUACACACGUACUACAAUGGCGUUAAACAAAGAGAAGCAAGACCGCGAGGUGGAGCAAAACUCAAAAACAACGUCUCAGUUCAGAUUGCAGGCUGCAACUCGCCUGCAUGAAGUCGGAAUUGCUAGUAAUCGCGGAUCAGCAUGCCGCGGUGAAUACGUUCCCGGGCCUUGUACACACCGCCCGU